CAAACCUGAUGAUUGUUUUUUACCAAAAGAAGGUCAAAGAAAAGUUUUCCAGAAAAAUCAAUAUUUUCAAACUGAAGAAAACAGCCAUUUUAGAAAAUGGCCGUGGCCAUCUUGAAAAAAAAAUAUUUUUUUAAUGGCCAGCAGUUAUUUCUUUAAAAGUAUAUAAUAAUGAUGCUUUGUGGUAAUUUUCAUGCUUGUAUCACCAUUUGCACAAUUCCCUCG
rnacentral:lncRNA from 1 species